rnacentral:lncRNA from 1 species
CGUAUUUUAAUAUUUAUUAUACUCCCAUAUUCUGAAAAAAUUAUAUACUACCGUGCUCUAAUAUUUAUAUACUACUAUAUUUUAUUAUUUAUUAUACUACCACUCAAAUGAAAGAGUUGCUAGGAGACGAACCUUAACAAAAUAAUUUAAAUUAUUCUAGACACAAGCCAUUUAAUUCUAAAUGGAGGACAACCUAGUUCAUGCGCUGGAAACAAAAUAAAUAAAUACUCAAUGUUUAAAUAUCAUAAGUAUCCCAUAAAACCCAAGUAAUCAAAUACUUAGCCAAUAAAAAAAAUAUAAAGCAAGAAUAAGGCAUUUUAAGGAGAAGUCUAAACAUGUCAUUAGAAUAAUCAAUGGCAAGAGACCAUUUGGAACUAAUAUUAACCAACAAGAAAAAUAAAGGUUUGGUCAAAUGAACUCUUUACAGUAAGGUACCAAGUAAUCAUUCAAGAACAACAUACGGGAAUAAAUAAUAACCAACUUACGAAACCCAUAGAGAGAUAUGUCAAGAGCACAUUGUUAACUUAAGUCAAAAUGAAAGUCAUAUUCGCAUGGAGCUAUGGAGAAUCACAGAUUAUAACGGGGCCUUCUAUCACAAAAUGGAUACAUAGAUGAAGGGGUGACUAAGAUAAUAACUAAAUUCCCAGAUUUCAGACCAUUUAAACAGCACCAAAGCGAACCAAGCUAUGUUUAAAAAAUACAGAUUCCAAAUGGACGUGAACAGAUUCAUAAAGCCAAGGUAGUGAAUAAUGAAUGACUCAAGAGGAUGUGCAGAGGGAAACCUCCAUCAAAACUGGAUAUGAACAGAUCUAUAAACAUUUUAUUUUUACUUUUUUUUAAGAAUCCAACUCCGACAAAAAUCAACUCAUAUUCAUAAGAAGCCAAAUAUACAACGGCCUAAUGCAUUUCGACAUUUUCUAAACACAUAAUGAAGGCAUGAAUGUGAUUUCAACAGAAUGACAACAAUGCGAUUCCGAUGCAAUUAUCAAAUGGGUAAACCAAAGUUGAGACGAACAUAAUCAGCCGAGAACUUCAAGAACAUCCAUAGCAGAGGAAACGAGCUCAAACAGGCGUAAAAUCACUUUGAAAUACAAAAUACACAUACUAGUUUCGGAAAGAUUAUGAUGAAGAGAAAGCUUAGGCUCAAAGCAAAUCACUUAAAAUCAGUUCAUAAAGACAAAUCAGUUCAUAAAAACAACGAAUAUUUUCAUGAUUCAACAUUCGUUGGAAUCGGAAUGAAGGAAGGAAAAAGGCCGAGAGUUGUUUACCUUUCGAUGAGCAGCGACUGGAUACAAACGAGCAAGAAGGCGAGUUUUCCCACACAAGCGCGAGCCGGACAGAAAGCACGAGACCUGGGCAGCGAUCCGAGCAGCCACCCGAGUUCG